UACGGGGGAUGCAAGCGUUAUCCGGAUUUAUUGGGUUUAAAGGGUGCGUAGGCUGUGAGGUAAGUCAGCGGUGAAAUGCCCCCGCUCAACGGGAUGAAGUGCCAUUGAUACUGCCUUGCUGGAGUGCGGAUGCCGUGGGAGGAAUGUGUGGUGUAGCGGUGAAAUGCAUAGAUAUCACACAGAACACCGAUUGCGAAGGCAUCUCACGAAUCCGCGAUUGACGCUGAUGCACGAAAGCGUGGGUAUCAAACAGG
rnacentral:rRNA from 1 species